rnacentral:rRNA from 1 species
CCUACGGGAGGCAGCAGUGAGGAAUAUUGGUCAAUGGGCGUAAGCCUGAACCAGCCAAGCCGCGUGAGGGAUGAAGUUCCUAUGGACCGUAAACCUCUUUUAUAAGGGAAUAAAGUGCGGGACGUGUCCCGGAUUGUAUGUCCCUCAUGAUUAAGGAUGGGCUAAAUCCGUGCAAGCAGCCGAGGUAAUACGGAGGGUCGGAGCGUUAUCCGGAUUUAUUGGGUUUAAGGGGUGCGUAGGCGGCCUUUUAAGUCAGCGGUGAAAGCCUGGGGCUCAACCAUAGAAUUGCCGUUGAAACUGGGAAGCUGGAGUACGUUAGAGGCAGGCGGAAUGCGUGGUGUAGCGGUGAAAUGCGUAGAUAUCACGCAGAACCCCGAUUGCGAAGGCAGCCUGCCAAGCCGUGACUGACGCUGAUGCACGAAAGCGUGGGGAUCAAACAGGAUUAGAUACCCGUGUAGUC